CCUACGGGUGGCAGCAGUGGGGAAUAUUGCACAAUGGGGGAAACCCUGAUGCAGCGACGCCGCGUGAGUGAAGAAGUAAUUCGUUAUGUAAAGCUCUAUUAGCAGGGAAGAAAAUGACGGUACCUGAGUAAGAAGCACCGGCUAACUACGUGCCAGCAAGCGCGGGAAUAAGUACGGGGCAGGCGUUAUCCGGAUUUACUGGGUGGAAAGGGAGCGUAGACGGCAGUGCAAGGCUGGAGUGAAAGGCGGGGGCUCAACCCCCGGACUGCUCUGGAAACUGUACGGCUGGAGUGCAGGAGAGGUAAGUGGAAUUCCUAGUGUAGCGGUGAAAUGCGUAGAUAUUAGGAGGAACACCAGUGGCGAAGGCGGCUUACUGGACUGUAACUGACGUUGAGGCUCGAAAGCGUGGGGAGCAAACAGGAUUAGAUACCCGGGUAGUC
rnacentral:rRNA from 1 species